AUUGAACGCUGGCGGCAGGCCUAACACAUGCAAGUCGAACGAGUGGCGGACGGGUGAGUACUGUCUGGGCAACUGCCUGAUGGAGGGGGCUAAAUACUGGAAACGGUAGCUAAUACCGCAUUCCAUCGGUUGUGCCCAGAUGGGAUUAGCUAGUAGGUGGGGUAACGGCUCACCUGGGCGACGAUCCCUAGCCGGUCUGAGAGGAUGACCGGCCACACUGGAACGGGAACACGGUCCAGACUCCAACGGGAGGCGGCAGUGGGGAAUAUGGGACAAGGGGCGCAAGCCUGAUGCGGCCAUGCCGCGUGUAUGUAGAGGGCCUUCGGGUUGUAAAGUACUUUCAGCGGGGAGGCGUUACCCGCAGAAGAAGCAACGGCUAACUCCGUGCCAGCAGCCGCGGUAAUAC
rnacentral:rRNA from 1 species